GCAAGGAAGCCCCUCCUCCAUCGGCUCAGUAAACACAGACCACUCCCACUCCUCCUGUUCCCACAAGCCAGCUUCUACACACACUCAGCACCGAGCCACACAGUCUGAGUUGACAAUGGAGAAGUUAGCAGCGCUGGAGAGCAGUAAGAGCUCGGAUCUGGAGAAGAAAGAGGGACGUAUUGACGACUUGCUUAGGGUAAACUGUGACCUGCGCAGACAGAUCGAUGAACAGCAGAAGAUGUUGGAACGAUGUAAAGAACGACUCAAUAAAUGUGUUACCAUGAGUAAGAAACUUCUUAUUGAAAAGUCCAAGCAGGAGAAGAUUGCAUGCAGAGAAAAGAG